rnacentral:rRNA from 1 species
AGGACGAACGCUGGCGGCGUGCUUAACACAUGCAAGUCGAGCGAACCUUCGGGUUAGCGGCGAACGGGUGAGUAACACGUGGGCAACCUGCCCCGAGCUCUGGGAUAACCCCGGGAAACCGGGGCUAAUACCGGAUAUGACCCGAGAAGACAUCUUCUCGGGUGGAAAGUUUUUCGGCUCGGGAUGGGCCCGCGGCCUAUCAGCUUGUUGGUGGGGUAACGGCCUACCAAGGCGACGACGGGUAGCCGGCCUGAGAGGGCGACCGGCCACACUGGGACUGAGACACGGCCCAGACUCCUACGGGAGGCAGCAGUGGGGAAUAUUGCGCAAUGGGCGAAAGCCUGACGCAGCGACGCCGCGUGAGGGAUGAAGGCCUUCGGGUUGUAAACCUCUUUCAGCAGGGACGAAGCGCAAGUGACGGUACCUGCAGAAGAAGCACCGGCAACUACGUGCCAGCAGCCGC